AAAUUAUCUAUGUGUGCAGUCUUUGAAUCUAGUUGUUCAAAAACUAAACGAUCCUGCGGGUUGAUUAGUACAAUCGAAGAGUAGACUUGACCGUUGCAUAUUUUUCACUCUAUAUCCGAGCAAUCAUGUGAUUCAACUUUUCUAUUUAUUGAUCUAUGAGCUGGUUAUGAGCGCCCAAGUUUAUCGUGCAACGUCUCGACUUACAUCCGGUAAAAACAAACCACAAGGAGCCGUCGAACUACCAAUUAAACGCAUUUCAUGUGUCUCUGAAAGACGAUCUAGCGCUGUUCAACUGUGUAGGUAUUGCAGUUACUGCUUCAGGCCGGAAAAUAAAAUAAAUACGAAGCACUUCGAAGGAAUUUUAAUAUAAACGGGCAAAACGUGAAGGAGGCGAGGAGGUUUUUGGGCCACGCGAACGUUGGCGCCGAACUCUUGAAGCGAGUCUCGCCUCCAACCGACUGACAAGUGAUCCACAAGUCUUCGUUACGCAGCUGAAACUUACACUUAAUAUCUUUUACGUACACGCCGCCCACAGGAUCGACAUGUUUACCCAUCACUACCCCCCCACUACCAAUUUCAUUCCCACGUGGAUAACACGCGGGUCUCGUUUUAUCACCAGUUUGAUACCCCAUCGAUCGAAUAUGAAUCAAUUGAAAGAGAGGAAGGUUUUAUAUCGGUAAUCCUUUUGCUCGAGUCAUUCGAAUUACCUAAUUCAUCGCACCGGUGGAAUUUUAAACCAUGACAAAAAAAAAAAUGACCUAUAGCUACUCAUAAUUUCAUUCGAUCUAUCUCUUUUUUUUUCCACUUCGCGAAAUACAUGAUGAAAGAUACCAUCAGCAUGCAGUGACGAUUGAACUUCCUUAUCGCACGUUCCGUUUUAGUUUAAGUUUUUUCCUCAUUUGGUUUUAAGUGCUCGGUCGAUUUACGAUAUAAUUUUGUGAUACUAUUGCAGUGUGUGUGGUGUGGAAUUUUUCAUUAUGUAAUGCUACAUUUUUCUAAUCGUCUAUAAGAUUCUAAUCUCCAAAAGCCAAUUACUUGAAGACUUGCGUUCGGAUCAAGUUACUCCUAAGCUAUGCACUGAAAUGUGGAACUUGUAACGAUGAUGACAUUGAAACAGUAAUUAUCUCCAAGAAUUUAUUACUAUAGUUCGUUACUUAAACGAGGCUCGUUCAAACAUCAUUGACCGACGAUAUUUUUUCUGCGCACCAUUUUUCUCGCCUGCUACAUCGUCCACUGUACCUAUAAACAGAAAUCGGUGCGGGUGAUAAUUGUGAUAUGAAUAUGAAGUAGCGCCGCGCGA
rnacentral:misc_RNA from 1 species